CCUACGGGGGGCAGCAGUGAGGAAUAUUGGACAAUGGGCGAAAGCCUGAUCCAGCAAUACCGCGUGAGUGAAGAAGGCCUUAGGGUUGUAAAGCUCUUUCAGCAGGAAUAUGGUACCUGCAAAAGAAGUUCCGGCUAACUCCGUGCCAGCAGCCGCGGUAAUACGGAGGGAACUAGCGUUGUUCGGAUUUACUGGGCGUAAAGGGCGCGUAGGCGGUCUGUUAAGUUAGAAGUGAAAGCCUGGGGCUUAACCCCAGAACUGCUUCUAAAACUGGCAAACUAGAGUGCGGGAGAGGAUAGUGGAAUUCCUAGUGUAGAGGUGAAAUUCUUAGAUAUUAGGAGGAACACCGGUGGCGAAAGCGACUAUCUGACGCAACUGACGCUGAGGCGCGAAAGCGUGGGGAGCAAACAGGAUUAGAUACCCUUGUAGUC
rnacentral:rRNA from 1 species